rnacentral:rRNA from 1 species
UUGGUCAAAAUCUAUAUGGCCUCUGGAUUGGACUGCGGCCGAUCAGGCUGUUGGUGAGGUAAUGGCCCACCAAACCUAUAACCGGUACGGGCUCUGAGAGGAGAAGCCCGGAGAUGGGCACUGAGACAAGGGCCCAGGCCCUAUGGGGCGCAGCAGGCGCGAAACCUUUGCAAUAGGCGAAAGCCUGACAAGGUUACUCUGAGUGAUUUCCGCUAAGGGGAUCUUUUGACACCUCUAAAAAUGGUGUAGAAUAAGGGGUGGGCAAGUCUGGUGUCAGCCGCCGCGGUAAUACCAGCACCCCGAGUGGUCGGGACGAUUAUUGGGCCUAAAGCAUCCGUAGCCGGUUUUACAAGUCUUCCGUUAAAUCCAGCCGCUCAACGGAUGGGCUGCGGAGGAUACUGUAGAACUAGGAGGCGGGAGAGGCAAGCGGUACUUAGUGGGUAGGGGUAAAAUCCACUGAUCCAUUGAAGA